UACGGAGGAUCCAAGCGUUAUCCGGAAUCAUUGGGUUUAAAGGGUCCGUAGGCGGUCUUAUAAGUCAGUGGUGAAAGUUUGCAGCUUAACUGUAAAAUUGCCAUUGAUACUGUAGGACUUGAAUUUUUGUGAAGUAACUAGAAUAUGUAGUGUAGCGGUGAAAUGCAUAGAUAUUACAAGGAAUACCAAUUGCGAAGGCAGGUUACUAACAAAUGAUUGACGCUGAUGGACGAAAGCGUGGAUAGCAAACAGGAUUAGAUACCCGUG
rnacentral:rRNA from 1 species